AUUGAACGCUGGCGGCAUGCCUAACACAUGCAAGUCGCACGAGUGGCGGACGGGUGAGUCAUGUCUGGGAAACUGCCUGCUGGAGGGGGAUACCUACUGGAAACGGUAGCUAAUACCGCAUACCCUCAGAUGUUCCCAGAUGGGAUUAGCUAGUUGGUGGGGUAACGGCUCACCUCGGCGCCGAUCCCUAGCUGGUCUGAGAGGAUGACCAGCCAAAGUGGAACGGAGACACGGUCCCGACUCCUACGGGAGGCAGCAGUGGGGAAUAUUGCACAAUGGGCGCAAGCCUGAUGCAGCCAUGCGGGGUGUAUGAAGAAGGCCUUCGGGUUGGAAAGUACUUUCAGCGGGGAGGCGUUACCCGGAGAAGAAGCACCGGCUAACUCCGUGGCAGCAGCCGCGGUAAUAC
rnacentral:rRNA from 1 species